rnacentral:lncRNA from 1 species
CAUGCCAUUAUUACCUAAAAAGGUAUUUUUGAAAAAUAUCAAAUAGGUGUAUGCCACUUGUCAGCAUCCAGUUAAUCAAUCAGUUCGAUCAUGGAUCAGUCCGACGUGGCCAAAUCUGGUGAAGACGUGCCGAACCGUCAUCUGAUAAAGUAUAAGAUUAGUGCCAAAUGUCAUAGAUUGGUAUCUGGGCUGGUUAAUUUAACCCAUUAAUUUGCCUAUCAAAGGUUUUUAACCCCAGUAACUGUCCACUUCCAUUGUUCUUUUGCGAAGGUGCUGUUGGUUUUUCUCUAGGAGUCAUUCCG